rnacentral:misc_RNA from 1 species
CCAACUUCAGUGCUCCCAUCCCUUUUACUCUGCCUGUCAGUUUGGCAUCUCCAACUCAUCAAUAGCAGCAACCAAACCCAAUGCCCGUGAUGAUGCUCAGUUACAAGCUCUUGAUUGGCAACCAUGCAUGUGGUUAGAAGGGAUUCUCGUGGGUAUGGCUUUGUGCUAACCUUGGGGAGAUGAAGAUAUUGAGCCGUCUCAACACUUGAGAGAGAAACGUGAAGUGGUAUGGUCGAAGGAAGAGAAUGGUAUUUUUGCACAUGAUUUUAUGGUUUUUCUUGUUUCUGGGUUUGUUUAUGAGUUUGAUGAUGAAUGGAGAGCAAGAGUGGGGGUGGGUCUGCUCGUCAAGGGUUUGAUGUGUGGACCUGAAUAGGGUGGGAGAGAGGUAUGGGAGAGAGAGCAAGAGAGAGCUUCCCUGACCACAGAGAAAAGAGAGGGGAAAAAGAGAGAAAGAAAUUUUUUAUUGUUAAAAGGUCACGUGGCAGAUAGAGAAAAUUUUGUGUUAUUUUUAUUCCACCUAUGCUUGUCCACCAAAGCUUUUGGCCGGAGAUUCUAUCGGAAAGUGGCUUGAGAGACUUUUGGUUGUGUUAAAUUAAAGUUAGAGGAUUUUUCUGAUACAAAUUAAAGUUGAAAGACAUUACUGAAAUAACCCCUAAGGUUGAAGGGCGAUGAGUGAAAUUUAGCCCAAACAAAGGUUAGCAUUUUGGAACAUGGAUUUUUUUGGGGGGAAUGUGCCAUGAUAUUUUUGUCAAACAUACAUAUGUAUAUGUAAAUUAAUAACAAUAAAAGUGGCAUGUCAGAAAACUACCAACAACUAAAUUUCAAAUGAUGAAAAGCACAAAACUUUUAAGAUGUAAGAUACAUAUAUCAUACACACAAUGACACAAUGAUGUUUACAAUGGUUUGCCCUUACAAAGAGACCAAUCAAUUAUACCUUCCCUUUCUGAAUUCCCUCU